UACGGGAGGCAGCAGUAAGGAAUAUUGCGCAAUGGACGAAAGUCUGACGCAGCAACGCCGCGUGCAGGAUGACGGCCCUUUGGGUUGUAAACUGCUGUAGCAGGGGAAUAAUGGCCACCUUGGGUGGUUUGAAGGUACCCUGAAAGUAAGCGCCGGCUAACUACGUGCCAGCAGCCGCGGUAAUACGUAGGGCGCAAGCGUUGUCCGGAUUCACUGGGUGUAAAGGGUGCGCAGGCGGACUGGCAAGUCAGGGGUGAAAUCUCACAGCUCAACUGUGAAACUGCCUUUGAUACUGCUGGUCUUGAGUCAGGGAGAGGUUGAUGGAAUUCCAGGUGUAGCGGUGAAAUGCGUAGAUAUCUGGAAGAACACCGGUGGCGAAGGCGGUCAACUGGCCCUGAACUGACGCUCAGGCACGAAAGCGUGGGGAUCAAACAGGAUUAGAUACCCUGGUAG
rnacentral:rRNA from 1 species